rnacentral:rRNA from 1 species
CCUACGGGAGGCAGCAGUGGGGAAUAUUGCACAAUGGGCGCAAGCCUGAUGCAGCGACGCCGCGUGAGGGAUGACGGCCUUCGGGUUGUAAACCUCUUUCAGUAGGGAAGAAGCGAAAGUGACGGUACCUGCAGAAGAAGCGCCGGCUAACUACGUGCCAGCAGCCGCGGUAAUACGUAGGGCGCAAGCGUUAUCCGGAAUUAUUGGGCGUAAAGAGCUCGUAGGCGGUUUGUCGCGUCUGCCGUGAAAGUCCGGGGCUCAACUCCGGAUCUGCGGUGGGUACGGGCAGACUAGAGUGAUGUAGGGGAGACUGGAAUUCCUGGUGUAGCGGUGAAAUGCGCAGAUAUCAGGAGGAACACCGAUGGCGAAGGCAGGUCUCUGGGCAUUAACUGACGCUGAGGAGCGAAAGCAUGGGGAGCGAACAGGAUUAGAUACCCUGGUAGUCCAUGCCGUAAACGUUGGGCACUAGGUGUGGGGGACAUUCCACGUUUUCCGCGCCGUAGCUAACGCAUUAAGUGCCCCGCCUGGAGAGUACGGCCGCAAGGCUAAAACUCAAAUGAAUUGACGG